rnacentral:rRNA from 1 species
CACGUAGGGGGCAAGCGUUGUCCGGAUUUAUUGGGCGUAAAGAGCUCGUAGGCGGCUCAGUAAGUCAGGUGUGAAAACUCCAGGCUCAACCUGGAGACGCCACCUGAUACUGCUGUGGCUAGAGUCCGGUAGGGGAGCAUGGAAUUCCUGGUGUAGCGGUGAAAUGCGCAGAUAUCAGGAGGAACACCAGUGGCGAAGGCGGUGCUCUGGGCCGGAACUGACGCUGAGGAGCGAAAGCGUGGGGAGCAAACAGG